rnacentral:rRNA from 1 species
CAUGGUCUUAGCUUGCUAAGGCCGAUGGCGACCGGCGCACGGGUGAGUAACACGUAUCCAACCUGCCGUCUACUCUUGGACAGCCUUCUGAAAGGAAGAUUAAUACAAGAUGGCAUCAUGAGUCCGCAUGUUCACAUGAUUAAAGGUAUUCCGGUAGACGAUGGGGAUGCGUUCCAUUAGAUAGUAGGCGGGGUAACGGCCCACCUAGUCUUCGAUGGAUAGGGGUUCUGAGAGGAAGGUCCCCCACAUUGGAACUGAGACACGGUCCAAACUCCUACGGGAGGCAGCAGUGAGGAAUAUUGGUCAAUGGGCGAGAGCCUGAACCAGCCAAGUAGCGUGAAGGAUGACUGCCCUAUGGGUUGUAAGCUUCUUUUAUAAAGGAGUAAAGUCGGGUAUGGAUACCCGUUUGCAUGUACUUUAUGAAUAAGGAUCGGCUAACUCCGUGCCAGCAGCCGCGGUAAUACGGAGGAUCCGAGCGUUAUCCGGAUUUAUUGGGUUUAAAGGGAGCGUAGAUGGAUGUUUAAGUCAGUUGUGAAAGUUUGCGGCUCAACCGUAAAAUUGCAGUUGAUACUGGAUAUUUUGAGUGCAGUUGAGGCAGGCGGAAUUCGUGGUGUAGCGGUGAAAUGCUUAGAUAUCACGAAGACUCCGAUUGCGAAGGCAGCCUGCUAAGCUGCAACUGACAUUG